GAAAUCUGGUGGAAGCCCGUAGCGGUUCUGACGUGCAAAUCGAUCGUCAAACUUGGGUAUAGGGGCGAAAGACUAAUCGAACCAUCUAGUAGCUGGUUCCCUCCGAAGUUUCCCUCAGGAUAGCUGGAGCCCGUUGCGCAGUUUUAUCAGGUAAAGCGAAUGAUUAGAGGUCUUGGGGUCGAAACGACCUCAACCUAUUCUCAAACUUUAAAUGGGUAAGACGUCCGGCUUGCUCGAGCGAAGUCGGGCCACGAAUGCCGGGGCUCCCAGUGGGCCAUUUUUGGUAAGCAGAACUGGCGAUGCGGGAUGAACCGAACGCCGGGUUAAGGUGCCCGAAUCGACGCUCAUCAGAUCCCACGAAAGGUGUUGGUUGAUCUAGACAGCAGGACGGUGGCCAUGGAAGUCGGAAUCCGCUAAGGAGUGUGUAACAACUCACCUGCCGAAUCAACUAGCCCUGAAAAUGGAUGGCGCUGAAGCGUCGUACCCAGACCCGGCCCGUCGGGCCGCGCUGUACGGUCCGACGAGUAGAAGGCGCGNCGGUGNCGGUCAGCUUCGGGCGCGAGCCCGGGUGAAGCCUCCGCCGGUGCAGAUCUUGGUGGUAGUAGCAACUAUUCAAACGAGAUCUUUGAAGACUGAAGUGGAGUAGGGUUCCAUGUGACCAGCACUUGGACAUGGGUUAGUCGAUCCUAAGGGGAGGGAGAGUUCCCCGUGGAAGGUGCAAUCGCCUCGCGGCGACGGCACCGUUCUCCCCGAAAGGGAGUCGGGUCAACAUUCCCGAACCGGGAUGCGGGUAGGCCCUCGCGGCCACGGCGGCAACGCAAGCGAACUCGGAGACGUCGGCGGGAGCCCCGGGAAGAGUUCUCUUUUCUUCUUAACGGGCCCGUCCCCUGGAAUCAGGUUGGCUGGAGAUAGGGCGUUGCGCCCGGUAAAGCGUCACACUUGUGGUGGCGUCCGGUGCGCUCCCGACGGCCCGUGAAAUCCGAGGGAGC
rnacentral:rRNA from 1 species